UACGGGGGGGGCAAGCGUUGUUCGGAAUUACUGGGCGUAAAGGGCUCGUAGGCGGCCAACUAAGUCAGACGUGAAAUCCCUCGGCUUAACCGGGGGAACUGCGUCUGAUACUGGAUGGCUUGAGAUUGGGAGAGGGAUGCGGAAUUCCAGGUGUAGCGGUGAAAUGCGUAGAUAUCUGGAGGAACACCGGUGGCGAAGGCGGCAUCCUGGACCAACACUGACGCUGAGUGAGCGAAAAGCCAGGGGAGCAAACGGG
rnacentral:rRNA from 1 species